rnacentral:rRNA from 1 species
AAGAGGCAAAACCGCGAGGUGGAGCAAAUCUCAAAAAGCCGUCCCAGUUCGGAUUGCAGGCUGCAACCCGCCUGCAUGAAGUUGGAAUCGCUAGUAAUCGCGGAUCAGCAUGCCGCGGUGAAUACGUUCCCGGGCCUUGUACACACCGCCCGUCACACCAUGAGAGUCGGAAAUGCCCGAAGUCAGUGACCUAACCGAAAGGGAGGAGCUGCCGAAGGUGGAGCCGGUAACUGGGGUGAAGUCGUAACAAGGUAUC